UACGUAGGGUGCGAGCGUUGUCCGGAAUUAUUGGGCGUAAAGGGCUCGUAAGCGGUUUGUCGCGUCGGGGAGUGAAAAGUCCAGGGCUUAACUCUGGACUGGCGUCCGAUACGGGCAGACUGAGGGUAUGCAGGGGAGAACGGAAUUCCCGGUGUAGAGGUGAAAUUCGUAGAUAUCGGGGAGGAACACCGGCGGCGAAGGCGGCGACCCUGGGUAGAUACUGAACGCUGAGGUGCGAAAGCGUGGGGGAGCAAACAGG
rnacentral:rRNA from 1 species